rnacentral:rRNA from 1 species
AACGAACGCUGGCGGCAUGCCUAACACAUGCAAGUCGAACGAGACCUUCGGGUCUAGUGGCGCACGGGUGCGUAACGCGUGGGAACCUGCCCUUAGGUUCGGAAUAACUCCCCGAAAGGGGUGCUAAUACCGGAUAAUGUCUUCGGACCAAAGAUUUAUCGCCUUUGGAUGGGCCCGCGUUGGAUUAGCUAGUUGGUAGGGUAAAAGCCUACCAAGGCGACGAUCCAUAGCUGGUCUGAGAGGAUGAUCAGCCACACUGGGACUGAGACACGGCCCAGACUCCUACGGGAAGCAGCAGUGGGGAAUAUUGGACAAUGGGCGAAAGCCUGAUCCAGCAAUGCCGCGUGAGUGAUGAAGGCAUUAGGGUUGUAAAGCUCUUUUACCCGGGAUGAUAAUGACAGUACCGGGAGAAUAAGCGCCGGCUAACUCCGUG